rnacentral:rRNA from 1 species
AACGAACGCUGGCGGCAGGCUUAACACAUGCAAGUCGAACGCUCGUAGCAAUACGGGAGUGGCGGACGGGUGAGUAACGCGUGGGAACGUGCCCUGAGGUACGGAAUAACUGAGGGAAACUUCAGCUAAUACCGUAUGAGCCCCGAGAGGGGGAAAGAUUUAUCGCCUUGGGAGCGGCCCGCGUCGGAUUAGCUAGUUGGUGGGGUAACGGCCUACCAAGGCUUCGAUCCGUAGCUGGUCUGAGAGGACGAUCAGCCACACUGGGACUGAGACACGGCCCAGACUCCUACGGGAGGCAGCAGUGGGGAAUCUUGCGCAAUGGGGGCAACCCUGACGCAGUCCAUGCCGCGUGAACGAUGAAGGCCUUAGGGUUGUAAAGUUCUUUUACCCGUGACGAUGAUGACGGUAACGGGGGAAUAAGCUCCGGCUAACUUCGUGCCAGCAGCCGCGGUAAUGUCUGUACU